ACUGCAAGGUUUGGCUUUGUACCAUUCCUGUGAGCUGAAUGUCCACCAUUCAUGCUACAGCCUUUCCUCUGGGCUGUGACUGUGACUGUGCAAUUAGUAUUUGGAGUGUGCUUGUCCUCCCGAAUUGCCUCCUCCAGAUGAGCUCCCGUCAACAGAAUUCCAGUUUGUGUUCUCUGAACUGCUCUGUGCUAUGACUUAAAACACAGCAGUAACAUGGAGUAAGUCCUGUUGGAAAGUAAAAUCCAUAAAAGCCAUGAUAUGUCCCAGGUCUGCAUUUGUGAAAAAUCACUUAACCCAUUUUCAACUUGUUCAUUAGGAGCACCCACAAAAGGAG